rnacentral:lncRNA from 10 species
ACAGGUGUGAGCCACUGUGCCCGGCUGAAACUUUUUAUGUUUGACAAACUUUCGCAAAUCAGAUUCAAACUUUGGUCCUCAUUAAUCUUUUGAUAUUAGAUCCCCUGAAGUCCAAAAGAGACAUAUUCAAGUUAUUUGAUAUAAUAAAAUCAUACAGGAACUAUUGUCAAAUAUGAAAUGGCAUUUAACCUUCUUUGGAUUAUAUUUAUAUGAGUGUGUUAUUAGUAUGUGUUUCAGAAUUGUAUGAGAUUGUUGUGAUUCUGAUAUGUCCUAGUAUAUAUUAUCAGUAGUAACUAUCAUUAUGUAAAAUUGUUAUAUGCCAUAGAAGUAACCAAAUUUCCUUGUCAGUUGUGUUUAAAAGACUGUUUUAAAACUUUUGUUAUCCACAGUUGUUGUACUCAUAUCCUUUUCAAAAGGUGGUUUUAUAAUCAGCUACAGGACUCUGACAGGUGCUCUCGAAGGCAGGUGUUUAAUAACUUUGGAGACUGUGACACUAGAAUAGAGGAAAAACUUCCAAGACUCUCAUAGACAGGUAAUGUAUUCAAAAACAUUGAACAGAACAAGAGUUAACUAUGUAGACUAAACUAAUGGAAAACUGAAAUAAUCUUUUUUUGACUUGUUUUGAAACAUUACUAACUCUUGUUUCUGAGUCCAGAAAACCCCUUUGAACUAUUUACAGCUUUUAACAAUUGGGUUAACUACACUCCCGUGAGCAAAAUCUAAAGCAUAUUUCUUUCUACCUAAUUCCUCCAAAUUUGAAAGCUAUUUGCAAGCAUACUUAAUUUGUAUCAGUAUAAUUAUUUGCAUAAUUCAAUAAUAAUCUGUUUUCUUUUGUAACAGGAUACAGUUGAGGACAAUGGUAAUUUAACCAAGUCUUUGACUGGAGUUGCAUACUUUCAGAUAUAAAGAAACUGCUUUAAGGGAUCAGAGUUGACUUAGAAAGCCAAUAAAAGCCCCUUUGGAAAGCUGGCCUCCUACCUUGUCUACCCAGUUCUUGUACAGGUUUCUGACCUGUGCUGUGCCUUCUUAAAGGCUGGAGCCUGGAGCACAUGAGGAGAAUUCACAGAAGUGCCUGGAAAGGGAACUGCGGUGGAUCUUACAGAGACUUGAAACAUGUGGAGAAGUUUGGCUUUUAUUCAUAAAGGACAAAGUGCUGCCUCCACCUCCCCACCUGUCUAGUUUUAUUCAGUGAUGUCUAUCCUCAUGACUUGGGCCAUUUUCAUCAUCACGUCUAUUUGGUUACCUAGGUCUGCCGUUUUUUGUUUUUGUUUUUUCCCAAAUGCUUUCCACAUAAGAUGGCCUAGGUGUCAAUUGCUUAUCUCAGUGGAAUCAUUUCUACUCACCUAUAAAAUGGGAGUAAUAAAAAUGCUAUGUAUCCGAUUGUUGUGAGGAUGAAAUGGGAAUACUUGGACAUGGGGCCUGGUUGCUGGUGGAGGCAUCUGCUCUGUUCCCUGCUGCAUCCCUCACUUCCUGCCAUCCUCUUGCCCCACUUCUGCAGUGCUGAGUGACAGGCCCACAGCCUCCAUGCCCUCCUGUUCCUUCCUUCUCUGCUGAUCUUUUCUGUUUCCAGACACAUCUGCCACUACUGUCUGGUCCAAACACUCUUUCACCUAGGAAGUUUAAGCACGUUGUUGAACUAGAAAUAAUGUAUUCACUCAGUUACUUAUACACACAUUCUUUUCCCACUCAUUAAAAGUGGUUUGAAAAAUUUAUUUCAUUGUUCUUAAAGUGCUGAAUCAAGUGUUUUUCCUUUGGUUGGGAAAGGCCUUUGCCGUUUACCUUCAUCCACUCAUUCAUUUGUGAAGAUGUGUGUGCAGGCCCUAUGGUGACAGUGUCUGUCUAAAGUGAAGAGCUCAGCACCCAAACUCUAGAACAUCUGAAAACGUAGCUAGAUCCUGUGUUCUCUUCUCUAACAGAGUUAAAGUUAAGGUGCAUUUACUCAGUGCCUAGGGGGUAAAAAUGUGCGGUUCAGACUUCAACCAUGUGGGUGCUGUUUUUACCCAGAAUACCAACUGAUUCCAGGAAAGAGUAUUAGGAGAUUCAAGAUUUCUAUUUCUUUUGAACAUAUGUUAUUAGAGUUAAUUGUUAGGAAACUAUUUUAAAGAUAAUUAUUUGAAUACUGAAAAUGACUUUGAUUUCUAACAGGAAGCCAGGCUCACUUGUUACUUCCACAUAUGUGAUGAAGGCAAAAGACCACAGUUGCAUACAUUUGCAUAGUUAUCCUCGAGACUGGAAAUGUCAGUAAGAUGCAAUUGAUUGACUUGCUGAUUGUCUUUCCUCAUGUGAGCGUCUUUUCCAUGUUCAUGACCCACCACUGAUAUUCUGUGGAACUGAACUAAAACUAUGGUCCCCGAAGCCUUGUUGGGGGUGUGGAGGAAGGCGAGAGAGUGGAGGGGAGGGGACGGACACAGUAUUCCUGUCAGGGUGCAGCUGCAGCUCUGCUCCAAGGCACACUUUUCCUCUGGAUUCCACAGAAUUUCUCCCAGGGUCAUCCUUCUCCAGUAGCAGCCCCUCCACCUGGAGCAUCACUGGUGGGCAGUUGUGGCGUCAGGCACUGUCUCUGCCCUCAUCUGCUCUGGCUGGGGCAGCAGGAUUGAUUUCAUUCAAAAGACAACUGGUUUUCAUGGCAGGGGCUAUAGUGAGCAGAGCAGAGAACAGGCACUUGGGCGUCCUACUGGCUUUCUUCUUGCCUGAGGCUAGUCCUCCUUGAGCCAAUCCUAUGUCUCCUAGAGCACUUAGUUGUCCCUCUGUACUUUCAACCUCUGGCUCCCGCCCUAUAGUCAUAAAUGUGCUAGAGGCUUAAAACAAAUGCCUCACCACCACCUUUUAUCUCGCCUACCAACAAGUACCCCCCAAAAUUAGGGUUAGCUGAGCAUGGUGUCUCAUGCCUGUAAAUCCCAGCACUUUGGGAGGCCGAGGCAGGAGGAUCACCUGAGCUCAGGAGUUCCAGACCAGCCAGGGCAACAAAGUGAGACCCUGUCUCUAGAAAAAAAAAAAAAAAUUUAGCCAAGCAUGGUGGCACACAGCUGUAGUCCCAGCUACUUAGGAGGCUGGAGGACCACUUGAGCCUGGGAGGUCGAGGCUAUAGUGAGCUGUGAUUGUGCCACUUCACUCCAGCCUGGGCAACAGAGUGAGACCCUGUCUCAUAAAAAAGAAAAUUAAGGUCAUAUUUGCUGUUUACUUCUCUAUCUUCCAUUCAUUUCUUUUUGGUGACAGCUUAAUUGAGAUAGAAUCCAACAUAUCAUACAAUUCACCCAUUGAAGUGUAUAAUUCAAUAGUUCUUAAUAUAUUCACAGAUUGCCAUCAACCCCAAAGGAAACCCUGUGGCCAUUAGCAGUCACUCCCAUUCCCUCCUCUGCUCAGCUGUAGGUAACCACUAAUCAACUUUUUGUCUAUUC